GGAGGAAUAUUGGGCAAUGGACGCAAGUCUGACCCAGCCAUGCCGCGUGCAGGAAGAAUGCCCUAUGGGUUGUAAACUGCUUUUAUACGGGAAGAAACCCCCUCUCGUGAGAGGGGCUGACGGUACCGUAUGAAUAAGCACCGGCUAACUCCGUGCCAGCAGCCGCGGUAAUACGGAGGGUGCAAGCGUUAUCCGGAUUUAUUGGGUUUAAAGGGUCCGUAGGCGGAAUACUAAGUCAGUGGUGAAAUCC
rnacentral:rRNA from 1 species